AACCUGACUCAGGCUGCAGAAAAUGAAGUUCCUUUGCAGGAACGAAAAAAUUACAAAUCAAGUCCUGAAAUUCAGUGUAUUGUUUUCUUUUUUUCCAGGAGCCAAUCAGACCUCUUGAGAAAAGAGCUCUAAACUUCCUAGUUAAUGAAUUUUUAUUGAAGAAU